rnacentral:rRNA from 1 species
AUUGAACGCUGGCGGCAUGCCUUACACAUGCAAGUCGAACGGUAACGGGCCUUCGGGUGCCGACGAGUGGCGAACGGGUGAGUAAUGUAUCGGAACGUACCUUUCAGUGGGGGAUAACGUAGCGAAAGUUACGCUAAUACCGCAUAUUCUGUGAGCAGGAAAGCAGGGGAUCGCAAGACCUUGCGCUGAUUGAGCGGCCGAUAUCAGAUUAGCUAGUUGGUGAGGUAAAGGCUCACCAAGGCGACGAUCUGUAGCGGGUCUGAGAGGAUGAUACGCCACACUGGAACUGAGACACGGUACAGACGCCUACGGGAGGCAGCAGUGGGGAAUUUUGGACAAUGGGGGCAACCCUGAUUCAGCCAAGCCGCGUGAGUGAAGAAGGCCUUCGGGUUGUAAAGCUCUUUCGGCCGGGAAGAAAUCGUAUCAGCUAAUACCUGGUGCGGAUGACGGUACCGGCAUAAGAAGCACCGGCUAACUACGUGCCAGCCGCCGCAGUAAGAC